GUGCUUGCUUCAGCAGAACAUAUACUGAAAUUGGAAUGAUACAGAGAAGAUUAACAUGGCCUUUGCUCAAGGAUGACAUGCAAAUUCAUGAAGCGUUCCAUAUUAAA